CCCUUAGAUGUUCUGGGCCGCACGCGUGCUACACUGAUGCAUUCAACGAGUCUAAAACCUGGUCUGAUAGGGCUGGGUAAUCUUUUGAAAGUGCAUCGUGAUUGGGAUAGAUGAUUGCAAUUCUUCAUCUUCAACGAGGAAUGCCUAGUAAACGCAAGUCAUCAGCUUGCAUUGAUUACGUCCCUGCCCUUUGUACACACCGCCCGUCGCUGCAACUGAUUGGGUGACCUGGUGAACAUCUUGGACCGGUCCACUCAAUUUCGAGAGGACUGGAAAAGGCCGUAAAUCAGGUACAUCUAGAAAUUGCAAAAGUCGUAACA
rnacentral:rRNA from 1 species